UAGGAUGUGGUGUANUGAGGUAGCACGGAGAAUUUUGAAUUCUCAGGAUUAGGUUCAAGUCCUAUAAUUCUAG
rnacentral:tRNA from 1 species